AUGAGUGGCGAACGGGUGAGUAACACGUGGGAAACCUACCUCUUAGCAGGGGAUAACAUUUGGAAACAAAUGCUAAUACCGUAUAAUAAUUAAAACCGCAUGGUUUUAGUUUAAAAGAUGGUCUUGCUAUCACUAAGAGAUGGUCCCGCGGUGUAUUAGUUAGUUGGUGAGGUAAUGGCUCACCAAGACAAUGAUACAUAGCCGAGUUGAGAGACUGACCGGCCACAAUGGGACUGAGACACGGCCCAUACUCCUACGGGAGGCAGCAGUAGGGAAUCUUCCACAAUGGACGAAAGUCUGAUGGAGCAACGCCGCGUGUGUGAUGAAGGGUUUCGGCUCGUAAAACACUGUUGUAAGAGAAGAAUGACAUUGAGAGUAACUGUUCAAUGUGUGACGGUAUCUUACCAGAAAGGAACGGCUAAAUACGUGCCAGCAGCCGCGGUAAUACGUAUGUUCCAAGCGUUAUCCGGAUUUAUUGGGCGUAAAGCGAGCGCAGACGGUUAUUUAAGUCUGAAGUGAAAGCCCUCGGCUCAACCGAGGAAUUGCUUUGGAAACUGGAUAACUUGAGUGCAGUAGAGGAAAGUGGAACUCCAUGUGUAGCGGUGAAAUGCGUAGAUAUAUGGAAGAACACCAGUGGCGAAGGCGGCUUUCUGGACUGUAACUGACGUUGAGGCUCGAAAGUGUGGGUAGCAAACAGGAUUAGAUACCCUGGUAGUCCACACUGUAAACGAUGAGUGCUAGUUGUUCGAGGGUUUCCGCCCUUGAGUGACGAAGCUAACGCAUUAAGCACUCCGCCUGGGGAGUACGACCGCAAGGUUGAAACUCAAAGGAAUUGACGGGGACCCGCACAAGCGGUGGAGCAUGUGGUUUAAUUCGAAGCAACGCGAAGAACCUUACCAGGUCUUGACAUCCUUUGACCACUCCAGAGAUGGAGCUUUCCCUUCGGGGACAAAGUGACAGGUGGUGCAUGGUUGUCGUCAGCUCGUGUCGUGAGAUGUUGGGUUAAGUCCCGCAACGAGCGCAACCCUUAUUGUUAGUUGCCAGCAUUUAGUUGGGCACUCUAGCAAGACUGCCGGUGACAAACCGGAGGAAGGCGGGGAUGAACGUCAAAUCAUCAUGCCCCUUAUGACCUGGGCUACACACGUGCUACAAUGGCAAGUACAACGAGUCGCCAACCCGCGAGGGUGCGCAAAUCUCUUAAAGCUUGUCUCAGUUCGGACUGUAGGCUGCAACUCGCCUACACGAAGUCGGAAUCGCUAGUAAUCGCGGAUCAGCACGCCGCGGUGAAUACGUUCCCGGGUCUUGUACACACCGCCCGUCACACCAUGAGAGUUUGUAACACCCAAAGUCGGUGAGGUAACCUU
rnacentral:rRNA from 1 species